rnacentral:lncRNA from 1 species
CUAAUACUAAAUUUGUGAUACAAGAAGAUGAAGGAGAAAGGAAGGAAAUAUUUGUCAUCCCUCUCGCACAUCCUCGGAAGGGAGAAUAUGGGAAUACAAGAUGAUUGAGUGGGAUAAGGAAACUUUGAUAAGCAACCUAAAAUUCAAACUGAUCUUUUGCUGCAAAUUUGUAAAGUGAUCCAUCACCCUUUGACCAUUCAUAUUAUUCCUACAAGAAGACAUGAACCUAUAUAUGAAAGGUCAACGUUGAAACAUUAGCAUCAUUUACUACUUAGAAAAAAUAUAUGAAAAGGAGAG